UUCAGACAUGACCUCUACUUUCUGAUUGAGAAUGGAGUUGGAAGACCCCAGGGAGGACUAAGAGGCUCAGAUCCUGGCACCCAUUUCCCAGCAUAGGCUCUUGCUUACAGAAGCACUUUAAGAGAGAAUUGAAGUAUUAAGAGACUCAAGAGUCCCAAAUCCCUCAGCCUCUCCUCGUACGACUUGCCUGCCCUCAAGGCAUUGGAUCAUAUGAGUGACUCCUCUCUGGACUCUGUCAAGCUUUUCCACAUCCCUCCUGAAGUGGGGGGCCUAAAAUUGGACACAGUACUCCAGCUGCUGCCUCACCAAGGCCAAGUAAAGCGGGAGGAUGACAUCCCUGGUUUUGCUUGAGAUGCAUCAGUGGAUGCACGCCAGAGUUUGCUUUGCCAGCCACAGCAUCACAUUGGUGACUCAUGCUCAUCUUGUGGUCAAUCAUGACUCCAAGUUUAAUAUCCUAUAUUUUGCAGGAAAAAUAAGUAAGAUACCUAACUAAAUAUUUGUUAGGUGAUAAUUUUAAUUUACUUUUUUCUUUAAUGUUCAAUUCUGUCAUUUUAUUCCUGCACAGUUGUACUCUAACAACAAGAAGACAUACUGUUUGGAAAUUAAAAUAGGAUUAUAUUUCAAAGUGAAUGCUUUUCUUAUAGAUUUAUUUUCUUGAAAUAAACCAGUAUGGUUGUGAAUA